CAAAUUAAACCUUAGAGGUAUUAUUAUUUACAAUAAUAAUUUGAUUGUGCGACUCAUUCUAAUUUGA
rnacentral:tRNA from 1 species